CUGAAAAGAGACUGGCCUCACCACUAUGGCCCCCACACCUCAGCUCUAACCUGAUAUAUGAUGUCUGCCAUCAUUGGUAGAUAGCAGAAUGCACAGCCAGGAACCAAGGAGGAACUUUCCCUCCUCUCAUCCUAGUGCUGGUUAUACGGGAGAAGAGGCUGACCCCCACUUUGCUACAACCUCCUUUCAAGGAGCUGCAGGGAGUGAUAAGGUCUCCUCCUGAGCCUCCUCAACUCCACACUGAACAACCCCAGUUCUUUCUGCUGCUCCUCAUAAGACUUGUGUUCCGGACUGACCUUUCAUAGCUCUGUUGCCUUUCUUUGGACACACUCCAGGGCCUCAACAACUUUCUUGUCAUGAAGGGCGCAGAACUGAAUACAGCACAGAACAGGUGUUGUGUACAUCAGAGCUGAGUACAGGAAGAUGAUCACCUCCCCGCUCCUCUUGGCUGCGCUGUUUCUGAUACAGGCCAGGAUGCCCUUGGUCCGCAUGGCCAUCUGAGCAUACUGCUGGCUCACGUUCAGCCAGCUGCUGAUUAGAGCUCUCAGAAUCCUUCUCCAGCAUGCAGUUUUCCAGCCACUCAGUUUCAAGCCUGAACUACUGCACUUGGUUUUCUGGAACUCCAUACCACUGGCCUCAGCCCACCAAGCCAGCUUAUCCAGACCCCUCUGUAAAGCCUUCCUACCCCUAUGCAGAUCAACACUUCUUCCAGUUUGGUGUUAUCUGCAAAUCUACUGAUGGUGCCAUCUAUCCCAUCAUCCAGGUCAUCAGUGAAGAUACUGGUAACAUAAUAUUAAGUAGAUGUGGUCUGAGUUAAUUGCAAAGAAGAAUAAGAAAUUAUUUAAGGUCCUUUCCAUCCAUAUAUUCAUUAGGAUAAAAUUUUGCUGUUAUUUUGUUUUGCAAGCAUAGGAACGAUACUGUUAUACAAUUUGAUUAUGCAAUCCCUGUGAUGAUAUUCAAAGGCAUGCUAUUCCUAAACAAACUUGCUGCUAUUCAAAGAUUCAGUUGUAAGGAGAGCUGGCAAUGCAAACUCCAGGAUGUGUGAUCCAGUGAUCCAGGCAUUAUUUCAGUGUUUCCUACAAUGUUAGAAGGUGAAAGCCACUUCACUUUAAGCCACCAACUGAGGUUCAGGUCUUAGAAAUCUCACUUUUACACUAAGAUCUGCUGAAUAGCAAUCCUAGUUUAAUUAAAUGUGGUGUAGAUUCAGUCCUCUUGGGGACUUAAACAUAGCGAAGAUAUUGUUUCAUAACUAGGACAUUGCCUGACAGAGCCUUAGCAGGAAAAAAUGGAAAGAAGUUUCUGUAUUAGAACGGCAAAGCAUGUACUUGUCAAAAUUACUGUAUGCAUUUAGGGAAAAUAGUUGCAAUUAAACUAAUUAUAAUUUAAGAGUACUUAAAUGACUAACAAUAAAGACUGCAUCUUUAUUUUUCUGCAUUCAGCAGGCAUCCUUCUCUGGCCUUGUACGUGAACCACCUGAUACUCUACAAGGCCACAGGAAAGAGUUUAUCUAAACAAAGUCAUCUGUUUUCUUUAAAAAUGCAUGACUGUUUGCUAGGUGGGAAAGCUGCAGUUUGAAGUCUCUCCGUUAGCAAAAAUUGACAAGGUAAAAGAGGAAUAUACACCUGAAAUACACAUCUUUUAAAUGUAAUAAAAGAACUAGCAAGUGCAUACUGCAUCCAUCAGUACCUCUUAAUUCUCUGCUAGGGAAAUCAGAUAGCUGAGUUUCUUCAGUGUUAAUGCUCAUCCUUGACUCAUUUCUUUAAGGCUAUCAGAAAAAUGUAUUGUGUUCAGUGUUCCAAUUGAAGGAACUUAAAAGAGCCUCCCAUUUUGCAUAGGAACUCAUACAGGAAGGCACACUGAAGCACUACAGAGGGAACAUCUUGAGUUUCCAGUAGGUUCUCAGUUUGUGGAUUCAGACAUAAAUGGCAUCAACUUAGAUUCAAUACCAAUAUUUUAAAUUAGUGUCUCUGUCCAGAAACAGGGUGGGGAAUUGUCCAGCCAGAUCCCCAUAUUUGGAGGCUUAAUAAUAGAGAAAGAAGAAAGGAUAGGUUGACAGACUUUUUUUUCCCUCACAGACUAAACCUUCCCUGAAAACAGGUACCAUGACAGUAACAUAUGACUGAGCAUCCAAGUACACUGCACCUUUUUAUCACCUCAGCCCUGAGAAGCUACUAUUUCAGUGAUGAGUACUUAACAAGACAUGACUAAUGCAAUUUAAUGCACUUAGAAGUCUUGAUAAAAAUAACCAUUUAUCAAAGAAAGCUUUUUAGUAAAAAAAAAAUCUUUGAGUAUUCUUACAGCCUUU